rnacentral:rRNA from 1 species
UACGGAGGGUGCAAGCGUUAUCCGGAAUUAUUGGGCGUAAAGGGUGCGUAGGCGGCAUAAAAAGUCUUUGGUCAAAAUGCAGGGCUCAACUCUGUAUCGCCAAGGAAACUAUUAAGCUAGAGUAUGGUAGAGGUAAGUGGAAUUCCAUGUGUAGCGGUAAAAUGCGUAAAUAUAUGGAGGAACACCAGUGGCGAAGGCGGCUUACUGGACCAAUACUGACGCUGAGGCACGAAAGCGUGGGGAGCAAACAGG